AUUGAACGCUGGCGGCAGGCCUAACACAUGCAAGUCGAGCGAGCGGCGGACGGGUGAGUAAUGUAUGGGGACUGCCCGAUAGAGGGGGAUAAAUACUGGAAACGGUAGCUAAUACCGCAUACUAUCGGAUAACCCAUAUGGGAUUAGCUAGUUGGUAAGGUAAUGGCUCACCUAGGCGACGAUCCCUAGCUGGUCUGAGAGGAUGAUCAGCCACACUGGGACUGAGACACGGCCCAGACUCCUACGGAGGCAGCAGUGGGGAAUCUUGCACAAUGGGCGCAAGUCUGAUGCAGCCAUGCCGCGUGUAUGAUGAAGGCCCUAGGGUUGUAAAGUUCUUUCAGUCGGGAAGCGUUACCGACAGAAAAAGCACCGGCUAACUCCGUGCCAGCAGCCGCGGUAAUAC
rnacentral:rRNA from 1 species